rnacentral:lncRNA from 1 species
AUGGAAGUUUGAAGUGUUUUUAUUACUAAUAUUACUAUUUGUUACUAAUGUUUGCAAAUUUAGUUUUCCUAUGAGGCAUUUUACAAUUAUAUUUUAGAAGUGAAUCUUAUGGUUAUUGUUAAUAUUGAUAGUAAAAAAAAUUGUUAUUUUCAGUAAAUGUGCUUCAUCGGUAUGAAUUUCGUCAUUGCUUGCUAACGAGGACUGCUUAAAAACGAUCAGCAAGUAAUGUUUGUACAGGUCGUAAUUGUAUUUGGGUUAGUUGCAAAUUUAGUCCCUGAAGUUUGACUGGUGUUCUUUUAUAAUUUCAAUUGCAACAAUUUAGCCCCUAAAGUUUGACUAGGAUUUCAAUUUCAUCCUUCAAUGUUUCAAUUGUAACAGCGUUAUCUGUAAAGAUUGGCUUGCAUUUCAAUAUUGUUCUCAAGAGUUUCAAUUUCAACAAAGCAAAGUCUCAAGGGUUUCUUACCAGGCACUCUUUGUGGACUAUUGACCAUCCAAAAGGCUUAAUCUUUAUGUUCAAGGACUUGGCUGCUGUAACUGAAACUAUGAGGAUGCAGUUAUGAUCGAUCAAAUUUUGAGGACCAAAUUUGCCAUUAACCUGAGUGUUUUCUACUUUUAAUAGAUCUACUUGGUUUUUUAUCUUGUUCUAAGUUUUGUUUGUAUUGUUCUAUAUUCAGUUCUUAAAAUGAGUAAACUUUUUCACCUAUGGUUAUUGCAGGCUAUCUUUGUUGAUUCUAAAGGAUGAAGCAACUGCCUUAAGAGCAUCUAUUCUAUUCAGCUUCAAUCCAGCUUCUGUGUUCUACUCAUCAAUGUGGUAUUCUCAUUCUUCUUAUUCUUACUCCUGGUUAACCAAAUUCCAUUGUGGAAUAUGAGUGAUAAAGGGAGGACAUUUUUGGCAGAUAUUCGGAGAGUCUAUAUGCCUUAUUCUCACUUGGAGGGCUGUUCUACUUAUUCUCUGGUGCUAAAACUGUAGCCAUGAUCCUGCUUGCUCUCUCUGGCUCGGCUAGGUCGAAUGGAGCGCUAAAUGCUGGUUAUUUCUGUUUUCAGGCCAUGCUACAAGCUUAUGGUGCAAUUUAUCAGAAAAGGAAGCCGAUAGUAAGAUUCUAUAUUUUGGCGCUUUUACAUAUAUGUAACCAUCCAAAAUCAUCUUUUUACAUAUAUACCCCUGCUAAUAUCUGAAUUUUCACAUAAUCCCCUUUAAAGUGCAGUUGCUUCCCAGAAUUCCUUUGUCUUAAGUGGGGGAAUCAUCCAAUUCAUGGGUGGAAAGAUGGUCUUGCAUUAGAAAAAUGUUUUUGAAAUAAGGCCUCUUUUAAGAACAAGGGAAUAUAUGUUGGUAUAUGAAUUUAUUCAGAUUUCACAUGAUACCCCCGUAACAAGGAAUAAAAUGGUAGGAUAAAUUCAUCCAGAUUUUGCAUGUAUACUCUGGAAAAUUGAAUUUUCAUAUAAGCCCUUGAAAGUCCAGGCUCUUAUGAAACCCCUAUCGUAAGUUGUUCAUCCAAUACAAAGGCAGAAUUUAGCUUUGUAUUAGAAACAAUUUUUCAUAAAAGGACAGUUUUCAGAGUACGAGAGUACUAAUAUAAGGUGUUAUUCUUGUAGAAGGCAUACAUUAUAUUCAGAUUUUGCCUGGAUUCUUGGGUGUAUAUGUGGAUAUAUUGUUUAAUUAAAUCAAUAAAAUAACAUUCCUGUUCUUAUUUUUUGAACUGUCUGUUGCAUUAAUGAGAAAAAAGAAUAUCAAUGUAUUUGUUGUUACAGCAUUUGAUCGUAAUUAGUUUGAAUGAAGUUGGCAGUACAGGCUAUUGCUGCUGGAGUUGUGCAGUCUCUCUUCGUAUUUGUUCCGUUUCUCGCUUUCCAAGCAUAUGGUUAUCUAAACAUCUGCUUGAUUGGAAAUUCCUAUGAACCAAGGCCGUGGUGCAAAGCAAAAAUCCCUCUUUUGUAUGGCUUUAUUCAAAGUCAUUACUGGUACUUGUACUUUUCAAAAUCACCUGUAAUCUUUCUUAAUUUGCUAACCUUGCUUUUCUUGUAAAGUGUGUUUCCUAACAGAACAAUAGAAAAACAAAUAAUUUCAAACACCUUGUUGGGCUAAUAUUAUCACAAAGUUUUCUGAAAUCUGUUUAUUUGGACUGCCUAAUUUCGAAAACCAAAGCUUGUGUGCAAUCUAAUUUUUUAGAAUAAAAUUUCAAAAGCAGUCCUUGAAGUUUGACCGAGAUUUCAAUCGCAUUCUCAUAGUUUCAAUUGUGAGAUCUCUGAAAAUUAUCCUAUGUAAUGAUCAUGUCCUUCCUCUAGUCUACCAUGACAUCAUAACACUUUAUUUAAAUUGACUUAUAAUGACAAAUAGGAAACUUGAGGUAGGUCAACUUUAGGGGUGAAAAUUGAAAUUGAAGUCAGAUUUCAUGGUUAGAAUUGAAAAACCUGAGGAUAAAAUUGGAACCAGGGCCGUAAUACAGGUAGAUUUAAUAUGUUUAGAUAAACCCCUUUUGUUUAGAAUGCUUGCUGUUUGCUUUUCAUUGCUAUGCAUUAUUAUUUUUUCAUCAUUCAUUUUCAUUUUUUGUUUUGUCAGGGGGGUGGGUUUCUUGAGAUAUUUUCAAGCCAAGCAGCUGCCCAACUUUCUUCUUGCUUCUCCUAUACUUUCUCUAGCAGUUUGCUCGAUUGUUCAUUAUGUAUCUAUUCUAUAUCGAAAAUUUCCAUUAUCAUCUAUGCAUAAAGAAAUUAUAUAUGCCGCUGAGAUGAAGUCAAUGGGAACAAAUGAAGGCUCAGAUGAUAUGUGGAUUUCAAAUAGCAAGCUUUCAUCUAAAAGUACUCGAGGUAUCACCUUAUCAGCUUUCUACAGAUGUCCUGUUGUGUUGCUACAAAGAAGCUACCUUCGUUCUGCUACGCUUCUUGAGUCUGUUCAAUUAUAAAAAAAAACUCUCUUCCUGCACUUUUCAUGUAUGCUAUAGAAAAGAUUAGCAAACAAUAUAUUUCCCUGCAGAAUUAUUUAUUUACAUAUACACCGAACUUCUCUCAAUAUAAAACGAACUUUCCCCCAUGAAUUCGAUGACUUGUCAACUAGAUGCUUUUUACAAAUCUAUUUCUUGUCAAGAGAUUGCAUGUUGGAGCAAUUUUGAAGCCUGAUAACAUUUUAACAGCAGAUCAUAUGGUUAGACAGAGGAAGCAGGAAGGAAGAAAUGGGGCUCAAUCUUCGCAAGAUAAAAAGUCAAUGGGCCGAACUCUCCCCGAUGGAAUGCAGGGAGAGAGCUCUAUCAUGGUUCUUCCCUUCAUUUUGCAUCUUGCGUUCAUGACAUUCACGGCAUUUUUCGUGAUGCAUGUGCAGGUCAGAGUUUUUCCAUUUUGUCUUUUUCUUUGGCUUUUGAUUUUGAGGUCAUUCCAACGUUACAGACUUCUUCAAAACGGUCUAAAAUUUAUGCAAGUUGAUUAUUCACUUCGCAUUGCUGAUUGUAACAAAUGUAUGAUAUUAUGGUAGUAGAUACGUGUAGCGGAAGGCUGCUUGGCUUCAUCUUAUUUCUACUAAAACAAAUUAAUGCAAGAUUAGCAUCGCAGGAUAAUGAUUUUAUAACUGAGGAGAUAAUUCGGAGUUUGAGUUAGAAUGCUUUCAAAAGCACUGGAGAUCGCUAAUUGCAUUCUUUUGUAUGAUGGAUGUGCUAUGAUAUAUCUGGUGUCGAUGCCAUCCACAUAAUGCGCAUCAAGUGUAGCAUUAGUUUAUAUUAGUUGCUUGUUUGGAUCUUGACGCUCAUCCAGCAUGCAUAAAAGAUCGAAGACUUGCCAACAAAUUCUUAACUCAUGCACAGCAUCGUUGAUUGCUUGUGCCAUCCGCAUUCUAUUAGCUCUCCUAUUUUCAGUUAUUUGCAACCCUUUUAACUCAAAAUACGUAAGAGGGAUUUCAAUUGUUAUCCGAAGUCCAUAACCCAAUUCAAUUUGGAUGAUGGAACUGAAUCCUGCGCUUUCUGUGAUCCAAUUUUUCUUCAAAGAUCGGCUCACUAAUAACGAGAGUUUUUUUCCCCCGCGCAGGUUGCAACACGAUUCCUCUCGGUGAGCCCGCCGAUAUACUGGUUUGCUUCGUAUGUAUUGGCUUCUCCGAGUAGUUAUAAAAAGUGGGGUUAUUUAAUCUGCGUUUACUUUGUUACUUACAUUCUCCUCGGCAGCUUGCUCUUCUCCAACUUCUAUCCUUUCACAUGAGAAGCUUGAAUGAAGCCUUAUAAUCCCCGAUUUUGCUUCAUUCUUCGUUUUCUCUCUCUUUUGCCUUGUUGUAAAAUUUAGGUUAGAAAAGGUGCUCGGAGAUGAUUCUACUUUUGCUUUUGAUAGUAAUACACUUAAGAAAUAGCCAGAUCUAUUAUGUAUGUUGGUAUGUGAGUUCUUUUAUUUUGUUUAUUGAGAUGAAUAUUUGUAAGAUCACUCACUCAUGUAGUUAGCUUGUUAUUCUCUUGCUUGCAACUAUUGAAGACUCGAGAUCAAAAGCCUUGUUCUGAUUAUGCGACGAAAAUUUGUUUGGGGAAAGCUAAUGGAAUAGAUGUGAUAGAGCAAUUGCUACCUAUUGGAUUUUGUAUGUUUACUUACUUGCUCCUGCUACAUAUUGCUGGUGCUAACUAUUAUUUUAAAAGUUUAAAAUUUUGCGCUGAUAAAAAGAAACAACCAAUUUACUAAUGAACAUAUAUUCACCAUUUUUGGUUCUUGACUGUAACUUUGGUUCAAUUUGCCUCUCGCAACGCCACCAAACUCAAAAUAGCUUGGAUUAUGAACUUACCAAUAAACCAAUACACAAAAAGGUGGAUUUAUGAACCUGCAAACGUGUUCUGUAAACUCUUUUGUUAUUUGGCACAAGAUAUGUUAGGAUGAGUAACAAAAAAAAUAAAAAAAUAAUAAUAAUAAAAAAAAAAAACGUAAUAUGAAAACCCAAUUCGUCUUGAGUUGAUAUUUUUCUACCAAACUAAAACGUGGAAUAGCGCUUCUACUGAAGCUAAAGAAGUGGGUUCUUUUUUCGCAUUUAGCCCCCUCAUAUUUUUUCUUUUUUUUUCUUGUUAAAUAGCUCCCAGUAAAAUUACACGAUCCUAUCCUCAUCACGCAAGCAGCAUGGUAAUAAGACAAGUUAAACACAAUAACAUAUUUAAACACGAUAAAUGAAUUAUUAUAUUCUCUGACUUGUUCCACACACUACUAAGGCAAAGAGAGCGCGAUAAUUCAUUUACAAAAUUUAAACACAGUAGCAUUUAGGUCAAAAUUCUAUAUGGCACAAAAAAAAUAAUUUAUUUCUACAAAUAUAAAUUAAACAAUGCUACUCAUACACUCCCAAAAAGAAUGUAUAAUAUACACCCCACUAAUUCUAGGGCGGAAACUUUUUUACUAGCCGCAUUGCUGUUACUAGUGAAGGCCACCCCAUUGUAAACUUGGGGGUGGACCGUAAAUGUACACCAUUUUGAGAUAUACGAGUAAGCAUUUACCUCUCGAAAAACUAUUUCCUCUGCUUUUCCAAAAUGUCAGUGUUGCUGCCACCUAGAGUUCCAUGAUAGAACAAUGAAAGGAGUACAUAAAAUCACAUAAAUAUACUCUCCAGAGGAGAUAUGUCACAUUCUAUUGACUAACCUACUUUCAUUUUCAUGAAAAAAGGAACACAAAUUCUACACGUUGUUCCCUUACCUCGUUUAGAGAGAGAGAGAGAGAGAGAGAGAGAGAGAAACAGAAACAAGCUACAAUAUAAACAAUAUAAAAUACUGAAAUCUAAGUUCUACAGAAAAUAACAACACAUAAAGGCCUGCUGAGGUGGGCGGGCACGGGAGUGAUAAACAAGAAAAUAAAUAAACAAAUCUUCUAAAUAAGCUAUAUCUUAACCUCGCGGACGUCGCUCUGACCAAACGGCGUGCCGCAUCCGGGGCACUUGCGGUGGCGGAUCUCGAGGUUCCGCUGUAUGCACGGAUAGCAGAAUAGGUGGAAGCAUUUGGUAAUAACCACCUGAAACCAAAAGGCAUGCCAAAAAAGAGAAGCUGAGAAUUCCAGAUCAUUUUUUCCAAUUGAGAACUCGAAUUCGGAAGUUCGUACAAUGGCUUUCUCCAUCAAUUUCUAGAUGAUAGUACCAAAUGAACUAGAAAACCGAUUCAUGCGUCAUUUAAUAGAUAUGAUGGAUGUGGCACAUAAGAUGGAACGUGACUUGGAAUAUAAGAGAGAAACUGCACAAACAUGCUUACGGCGAACAAUGGCGGUUAAGUACAAUUUCAAUACAAGAUCAAACAGAAGUUUGAUCGAUUUCAAUUGUGCACCUAGAUUUUCAACUUAAACAAAUUAGCCACUGAAUCUUAAGUCACUUUCAUUUGUAUUCUGUUCGAAAACAGAUGCUUUUGGCAGUGUAAUUUUUUUUUUGAGUUUUCAAUUUUUAAGGCGACACUGCCAUAGCUUUCGUUUAGAUGGUCGACUGAACUUUUGGAAGGAACAAAGUUUAGAGACUAGCAUAUUCAUAAUUGAAACUUUUUCAAACAUCCAGCAAGCAAAUAUGUAAUUAAACCAAGAAAGAGAAUCUAGAAUAAUAAAUGCAGACAAGUUAGGUUUCUAUAUAUAAUUUCUUCUGUUACCUCCUUUGGCCGGUCAAAGCAUACACCACAUUUGAGAAUAGCCUUGCACUCCUUAAUCUCAUCCUGUAGCUUCUGGAUAGUAGCCUCUUCAUUCUCAGAACUCAUUUCCAUGACUUCACUUUUCACUUCCUCGUACUCUUCCUCAAGCUUUUCUCUCUCAUUCCUGAGUUAAUUAUGUAUGGUUAAUUAUCGGUCAUGCAAGAGAGAACAAUAACAACAAAAAACAUGAGUAAUUAUUUAGUCCCUGAAUUGUAACCCUGGUUUCAGUUCUGCCCUUGAAUCCCCAGUCAUGACAAUUAGCCGCUUAAGUUUGCAUGCAUACCUAAAACCCUUCUGGUAGUUUAGGGUUUGAUAAAGACACCACAUUAGCAUUAUCGUUAGGUUUUGCCGAUGUGGCAACUUUUUCUAGUUUUCAAUUUUAAUGACAAUACUGAGGGGCAUCUUUUCUUUUUUCAAACUGUCAACUAAAUCAUUACAUGGGGCAAACUCCAGCAACUAAAAUGUAACAUGGGGCAAAUCACAGCAACUAAAUUGUCACUUGGGGCAAACUCCUGCAAUUAAAUGAGUAUAGUUGAAAUACUGAGACCAUGCAUCAGGGACCAAUCUGUAACUGUGCGAAAAAAAGGGGAAAAAAAAGAAAAAUGAGGGCAACGCCACCUUUCGCGCUCUAGUUCCAUCUUCAAUUCGGCAAUCUUUUUCUGGUUUUGCUCAUAUUCCUUUUGAGAAGAGUCAGCGGCUGAUCUGAGCCAAUUGAGUUCUUUCUCCGCAUCAACUAACUCAAUCUUAGCUCUGUCUAAAUUAAUAACAACAUGCCUGCUCUCCAAAGAAGCUUUAACAGCUUGGGUGACAUGCGUUUUCAUCUGUAAAAUGGUUUCACUUUAGAGCACUAUGUUAAGGUACAUUCUUAGAAAAAUGCAUGGAACCCCCUGACCGUUUGUGUUUGUUUUCACUAAUAAAUAGUCACCUGAACAUUCAAAAGUUAUUUUGUAAACGAAGGGAAAAAAAAUGUGACAUCCCCUAUAUGAGUGCAAUAACAGAUCUUUACCCAUAUUUAAAAAUAUAAGAUACACAACUCGAUAAUUGUUUCAAGCAAACCACCUAGCCCCCAAAUUCUCUUAAUUUUGUUUUAAAAAAGAAUCUUAAAUGACAUGGAAGCCUAAAAUUAUGCACGUAAUCAAAAGAAGAGGGGCAUUUGAGAUGUUUGACUUUUCAUGUGAUUGAAGAUCCGUAGGGAAACAUAACAGAAUCCAGAGCUUGAUGUAUAGGAAAUCUGGCACAUUUUCCCAGACAGGAAAGAAAAUUACCAAAAAAUUACUCCCAUGGUGAAUCAAUCAUCUACUGUCUGCAGCUGUUACUGCAGGAAUCUCAUGUGACACUGACAAAUCCAUGCCAUACCCUUCUUAUGCCUACAUGAGCCAGGGUUAUCGAGUAAUGUGGUUUUCAUGACUGAAAGUUGUUAACGAAAGCUGAUAAAAAUAAGUAAUAGGUGGUUGAUGAAAACAGGAGCACAGUUCAGAUAGGUUACUUGAAUUUUUUAAAGUCCAGGCGGUCAUCUAUAAAAGAUUGAUAUUUGAGGGGGUCCAGUGCUCUUAAAUAAAAAGUUGAAAAUGAGUUGGAAAAAAGAAAGAAAGAAUCACCUGUUCUUCACCACGAGCAACUUUCAUCUUGGAAAUUUCUAACGAGGCAUUAACUUGCUGGAGUUGCUUCAGCAAGGCUUGCUUUUCAAAAAGAAGAAUACCAUGAGUCUGCUUCAUCUUCACACUGUCCGAUACUAGCUGGAAUAACAUAAGUGGUGAAUCAAAUUUGCGGCAAAUUUCCAAUGAUAAGAAAAUUGCUAACUAAAUUUUAAUAUAUAAAGUCGAGACUGCAAAAGAUGACAACAAAAGCCCCAGACUAAAAGAACAUUAAAUGAACUACAAAAAUCACAUAAAACCACCUGAACAAAACCUCUAGAGGGGGUUACAUGCAACAAAAACAGAUUGCUCCGGUUGUUUUAUGUUGUUAUCGAAGUUCGGGUGGCGGUCUCAAAUUGCACCAUAGUUCAGGAAGUUCUAGGACUUCUUUCUCUAAACAAAAAAUGAUAAGGUAGAGUUUCCACAAACCUUGAUAUUGUAAUCAUCUCUAUCAGCAACCUGUUGGAGAAGAUGCUGAUUCUGAGCCUGCAUAUCUUCAUAUGCUUGACCAAUUGUCUGUACAUAAACGGAUAGAAAUACGUGAGAGCAUGAAAUGCAUGAACACAAGAUUAAAUAACAUGUAGGUAGCUUUUACCUCAAUUUCAGCAAUAUAAGCCUCUCCUUCCGCAUCUUUAAUUCUUAUGGCCUCUUGAAGCUCCAAAACUUCUCUGCCAAAAAAUAAGAUAAUUUCUCAGUAAAAUUUGAAAUGCAUAAUAUUUACUAAAGGGAAAAAAAACACGAAUGCCAGCAUCCCUGAAAUUUAGCAGUGUCAUAGACCACUGCCAAUGUUUAAAAAAAAACCAAAAAAAGGGAAAGAAAACUAAAUGAACAAUCUGUCCAUUUCAGUCAAUUGCUCAGCCCCAAAUUCCGUUAUUUUCUGUAACUGCAGUUACCACUUGACUAUUAUGUGAACCCAUAAAAAGUCCAACACUCUUACCUUCUUUUGAAAGCCCAGAUGAGCUCAGGAGCUUUACUGUCAUUUGGCUUUCAUGGGACUGCUAAUUCUUAAGGAAAGUUGACAGAUAUCAGGGCUUCGUGUUGAUUGGGAAUUUUACUUUAAACUUUUUAAAGAUCGAGACCUUCAGGUUGCAAUCUGCAACUGCAUGAAACUUAGGGGGAUGUAGCAUAUUUCCACCUAAUUUAAAACUUUUGAGUUAACAACAAGGUAUCUCACUAAUAUCAUUUAUUUUACUCUCCUCACCCCUUUUUUAAUUAGCUAAGCUCACAAGGCAAGUAUGGUCAUCACACUGAGCAAUUUGGCCUCCACCUAAAGAAGGCCAAAAUGGGCCUUUAAACUGCAAGCCAAUCAAGGCAUCGGUGGAGAAGCUGCAUGCUCUCUACUAAUAUCUUAACAAGAAUAACUGACAUUCAGUGUACUAUUAAUGGUUGUGGAAUACAAUCCAACUGCUUGACACAGAAACCCUAACCAGUAAAUCCUCUGUUAAACUACUAUCAAGAUUUUUGUGGCAUGGGAACGUUGACAACACAAUCCUAACUAAAAUAAAGCACUUCAUAAGGUAAUGUGAAACAGCUAACAUCUACUUAAAAAUGGCGGCUUUUACAAAUAUAUCCCUGCUAAAUCAAAAUUUUAGUUAUCUAUCCUACAUAAUCGAAGUUUCUUAACAUAUCCCCCCAAAGUGUAGUUUCUCACAAAACUACCCCUAAGUUCACAGAGUCAUUCAAUUCAUUGGGAAAUUGCUUAUGUACUAGCAAAGGUUUUUUUAACAGGGGUAUUUAUGUAUGAAAAAGGAUAUAUAUGUAAGAAAUUAAUAUUCGAAAGACAUAAAUAUUCAGAUUUUGCAAGAAAAAAGUGCAAGUAUUUGAAAAAACAAAUAAAAAAGAACGCAAAUGGCAGUAGAUAGACUUAUGUGCAAAUACUAUCCACAUAAAUAGUAAUCUCCAUGGUGAAAAGAUGGGAAGAGAAGAUGUUCACCUUUCCGAAGAAUCUAACUUUGCCCUUAAAUCUGCGAUUUCAGCUUCAGCAGCCGAAAGCCUUUGCUGGCAGGCAGCCUCAGCUUCAUUUGCUGCUUUCACCCGUAACUCAAGAUUAUGUUCAUCUAAGACAGUUCUCAGGUAUUCAGCCUGCAUCCGAGCUCUGUUCUCUGAUUCUUUGAUUUCCAUUAUCGUUCUAGUUGUAAUAAGAAGGCAAAGAUAGAGGUAGUGCAUACAAUUAGAGUAUGAAAAUGGCUAAUUUACCAGUAAUAUGCCUGUAAAAAAAUGAUUAAAUAUCAUCCUGAGAAAAUUUAAUGGUGUAGCUUGAAACAUUUUGUUAAGUUUUUUGGGCCUGUUAGUGCCAGGUUGGAACUUUUGCGAAAAAGCCACUUGAAUAGAGCUGUUGAAAGAAGCACCAAUAGCUUUUUCAUUGAAAUUCAUCCUCCCCACCAAUAUGGAAGUAAUCUUUUUGUGAAGUAUAAUUGCUGCUUUGAAGAACUCCUGUCAUACCUUGUGUCAAAACACUCUUGUCCGUACAUUUCUAGAUAAGUUUGCAGCUCCUGCUUUUCAUUUUCCAAUUUCUCCAGCUGUAUAUUCAUUUUAGGUAUAAGAACCACAUAUAUAAAAGCAUAGAAAUUCCUUAUAAUUUUAUAUGAUCCAAAGUUGAAAUUCCUAAAAUUAAGAAAAUAUGCUAAUCAAGAGCUAUACAGAAAAAUGAUGAAGAAUCAUAGAUGGCAGACAAGACAUACCAAAGCUUUAAGGGACUUGAUCUCGACGAGUUCCUCUGCACAUUUAUCUGACAGAGUUUUGUGUUCAAGAGUCUACUAUCAUGAAAGACAUUUCCAUUUAAGUCAGUCCUUCAGAGGUGCAAACAUAUCUCAAUUACAUUUAAUGCAAAAACUCAUGAACUGAAGGGGGGGGGGAAAACAUCUACAAUACAUUAUAAAAGCCAAAAGUAGCUUCUAUAAUAAUGAUUCUUCAAAUACCUUCUUCUCUAAUAAAACUCUCAAAGAAUUGGCUUCUUCACGUAAUGAAAGCGCUUCACAAGCUGCAUCCUUAUACCUAUUAAAUUGGGCUUCCAUCAUCUCCAUCUCUUUAGAUAGUGCAGAUGCCAUCACAUGAAUCUCAUCUUUAAAAUCCUUUCUCCCUAAAUGGUAAAGUUUUAAGCAACCAUUUAGAAGGUUUUUGAAAAAUGAAUCAUCCUUCAAAAACUUAAUUUCUUACAUCCAUUCCCUUGUACUUACAAAAUAAUGAAAUAUGCCCCCUGUUAAAAAAGUUACUCGAAUACAAAACCACUUCCCCUUGAAUAUGAUGACUCUCCAAUUUAAGAUAAAAAGUAUUUUCGCAAAAAACAACACUAUCAAGAGCCAUAUAACAAUUUGAAUUUUACAGAAUUUAUAAAUGUAAACAGAUACCAAGUAUAUGUGUAAAUACUAUCACAAUUAGAAAAAGGCCCGAUUUACCUGUAUCCUGCAAAGUUUCCUCCAGCUUGAUCUCGAGAUUGUUUCUUUCAUUGAUAAAUUUCUGAAUUUUAAGCUCCAGCUCUUCAAUCUUGGACUCAUAAUUGCUAUUAGAUAUCUUAAGACUGUCCGCAGACUCUGCUUUUGUGCUUAGUUCCUUCUCCCUCUGGAGUAUGUUAUUCCUGUCAGCCUGAACUUACAAAGAGAUAAAGAGAUGUGGGAAAAGAUGUUUUAAAAUAUCAUAUAUAGUCCUCACUGCGUAAAAUAUAGUAUAUCCAGUUAAAUAAGAUAUUCUUUUGUAAAUGCCUUCUAAAUGCAUUUAAGAAAACUACAAGCACACAUUUAGAGAAACUUAAAAUUUUUUGAAGUGCUUUCAGCAUAUAUAAUCAUAAUAUAGAAGGGCGCUUGAGAUAUUUUGCAAAUUUUAGUAUUUAUGCAAUUUUCAAAAGAAAAUAGUAUAAUUUUACCUGCAAAAACUCUGUUAAUCCUUUGUAUCUUUCGAGUUCUGCAGUAAGGUGGUGGAGUUGGUCAUCUAGAAGGGAGUAGGGUUUUGAUAAGAUUACAUACUUGUCAUCCUUCAACUGGCUCUAGAACAGACAAAUAGGUUGUUUAGGAAAAGAUUACAUUCUAUGAAACUGAAUUGCAAACACAUACAACGUUUUGAAAGAAGAUAAACAACAACUAACUUGAAGUUCUUCCAAUUGCUUAGAUAGGAUCAAGUUGUCCUCUUGAGCCUCAUGAAGUUCAAAAAGGCGGCUAGCUGCGAGUGUCUGUCAUUUGAGGAAAAUCAUGAAUAAAAAGGACUUAUAUCAUCAAAGUGAUUAUUACAAUAAUAUCUAUAGGUUGUGUUGUCAACUCCAACCAAAAAGUAGUGUUGCCAAAAAAGUAGUGGUGUACAGAAAAACUGUUAAACUGUAAUACCAAACCGAGCCUUCAAAACUAGUUAGGUUCAGUUCAACUUUUGUUUUCUCCUAAUGUUGGCACUGUUUAGGCAUAAAAAAAUGGGAUCAGAAUCAUUGUUUUGGCGUCAGUUUUCAAACAUGUGAACUGACUUUAAAAGCUAAAUCAGAAGGAUUAGUAGAUAUAGGAGUUUAAUCAAGGUGAACCAACUGUGACUGAACUGCUUCUAUGGCUAAACAAGAACACGCAGCAAAGGUCAUACAUUAUUAUUUAUCCAAUACAAGGAUUUACUGCCUGCUGGCACAGAUCAUGUUGGUCUGUUUUAGCACAGUACAGCACAGUGGCAAGUUUCCUAGUGCCGGUGGAAAGAAUUAUGGCAUUGAGGCGUUCCAUUGAAGAUCAAUAAGCAUGAGGCCUUUGCUUGAGCCUCAAAUGGCUUUGAUAAGGCUUCUCAAAGGCAUAGUGAGCGUUGAUAACAGCAAGGAUUGCUCCCUGGGUGGUCGGCAGUAGCGAAGGCGCGUUGGAAAAUGUGAGAAAAGGAGACAGCACAGAGGAGAGGAAAUUGGAACCCUAUCUUGAUCAGGUAAAAACGACAAGCAGGUCUCAGAUGCAGGUUACAAAAUCCAACAAAGUUUCGACCCUGAUCAAUUUAGAAUUUUGAAUGGCCUUUUUCUCCUUUCUCCCCUGCUUUUCUAUCUUCCUCACACCCACCACCGCAGUCUCAUUGUCUACCAUUUGACUGUUGCCAAUGUCGACAUCACUAUACCUCCAAAGAAGCCCCAUUAAAGCCAAAUAGGCCGUACAAGCUGCUGGAGAGGCCACUAGACACCUAGAAGCCCUCCCAAUGCCAGCGUCCAUGCGUGCCACAGGGUGCCCAAUGCCAAGUUCCGGUCCAGCACCGACACUUAAGUCAUGGCCGGCACCACAAAUCCAUGAUUCAAAACAACAUGGUGAAGCUAGCAGAUUGCUAAACCAGACCAAUACAUAAUGAAAAAAACCAAAACCUAACCAAAAGUUCCUUUUGCAGUGCAGUCUGGUUUUCUUUUCUACCUGGCCUGUUUAGGCUCAUUCCUACAUGAUUUUGAAACAGAUAAACAUAAUUUAUUUUAAUAUUCUUUUACUAAAAGCUGAUUCGAACCACAUUCGCAACUAUCCCUAUGAAAAGGCAUGCUAUAGAUACCUUAGCCUCAUCAACUGAGUCUUUCAACUCUCGCCAACUCAUGGUCUUAUCUGCAGGUUUAUCCAGAGAAAUGCUUCCGUUGACAGCAAUUCCAAUUGAAGCAUUUAUAAAAGAUGGCCCAUGCUUUUGCAUUUGCAGGAUAACCAACUUUCUUCGACUUUCCUCAAGCUCGGCCAUGCUUUCUUCCAAGUCACCUAGAUAAGAAAUUCAAAAAGGUUAAAAGUCACCAGUCGAUAGAAAAGGAAGAAAAAAAACAAAAGAUCUUACAACUUCAAGCAAGAUUGCAUAUGAGAUGAUACAAAAUGUCUUUAUGCAUCACCACAUCAAGACUAAAAAUGUCAUUUUUUGCUCUGCAGUCCAAUUCCACCAAAUGGAAGCAAAAGUAAGCUUUUCAACACCAAAAAGAAAUUACAUGCUGCUGAUACACAAAGCCCAACUAGGUAAAUUCCAUCUAGUACUCUUUUGGGGGGGAAAAAAAUUUCAGAAUCCUUAGGUUUCAGUGCUCAGAACAGUGAAAUGAAUCUAAUAAAUACUCUUACUUAUAACAGUGCUUCCUUGUAAAGUGUUAAAUUCAUUUAAAUGGACAACAUGAAUCAAUGCAACAUGUCACAUAUGACAGCUUAAGGAUGGACCUUCGAGUAAAUGGAACAGGAAGAACACUUUUUACUACCUGAAAGAUGCUUUAUUUCGGAUUGUUCUCUUGAAUGGUUGUCAAUAUAACAGCUGAUUUCAUCUGUAAACCUAUUAUGCUUCAGAUGGACAACGUCAAUGGCCUCACGCAUAUUACUGAUGACCUCCCUCAAGUAGCCAUUAUGGUUUCUGAGUUGCACAAUAGCAUCUAUAGCAACAUUGGUCGAAAUCCAAGAAUGUUAGUUGAAGUGCUUAACAUAGAUAAUAAUUAAGAUACAAACUAAGGGCCUGUCUGGUCUGGCUCAAAAACUGCUUGUUGAGUAAAAUUGUUCCAAAAACAAUAUUAUUGUUUAAUUAAAAUCUCCUCACAGAAGCUUCUGUUUUGGGCGCCCAUAAGCUCAUUUCAACUUUCCACCAUAGCAAAAGAUCCAGAUUUGUGUUUUCAAACCUUGCCGCUGUUUAAAAAGCCAGGCCAAACAAGCUCUAACAGAAAUAUACUGCAAAGUUCUAAACCUUCCGAAGAUAGGUUUCCAUGUAAAGCAGAAGCCAAAAGCUCGUUUCUAGCUAGUCGAGCAGCAAUAGCCUCCUGGAGGUGCUUCAUUAGAUCCACAAUUGCUGAAUGGCGCAAAGAAAGGGCUUCUUGUACAGCUUUUACAGAAAUACUUCCUCUAUUCUUAUCAACAUAGCCUGAUCUUAGGAGCCUACAAAGAAAUAUCUCUUCCGGAGGACAAGAAGCAAGAGCAUCAUCUAGAGGGACAAAACCAAAGUGAACAUGUGAAAACAAGCCAAAUUCUUUACAUACAAAAAGCUAAACAAAGACAUGAAGUUUAAAAAUGUAGAACCAAUUGAGAAAUCUUCAUGUUCCAAUGCUUGUAAACAGCGUAAUUCGCCUCCAGCGCGUACCCCGAAAAGGACUAGGUCAUCGACUAGCUAUAGCUUUAUAGGGAUUGAAUCAGAAAGCCUCUAAAUUGAAAAUAUAAACAAAAUGAGAAGUAGCAUAACAUAUGCGGUAAUGAAAGAAGACCUGAUUCCACAUUUUGUUCACUGCAAUCAAAGUGUUGUCGUAAGAAAUCUGCUUGUCUCUCAAGUCUUUAAACUUCCCUUCCAGUGCAUGCAUUUCUGCCUUCUGCGCCUCUAGCUGUUGAAUAAGCUUUUGAUUCUGAUAUUGAAGAACCGUAGCAUCCACCUGCAAAUAAAAAACUGUCAGAUAAUUUAGAAAGAAUAUAAUAAAAUAUGGAUAAUCACAAUAAGUGAUAUUGUUAAGCUAUUAUUUGGAAAAAGAAACGAAAUACUCAAACCCAAAGGGAUACCAACAUAAUGUCAAAAACAAAGCCCAAUAUGCAUUUUCAUAUAAAAAACAAAUGUCUUACAAAGAGCUGUUCAAUUUCAAAUUAGACAACUAGAUCAAUCCAUGUAGUUGUUAGGCCACAUUGAUAAACAGAAUAUGAAACAAUAGACAGAUGCCACUAACAGUUUCUACACAGCAAGUUGUCAAUGGAUUAUCCUGAUAUUUGAUUACUUCUCGUUUUGUGUUUUUAACAGAACACAAACAUAAAAUGUUUGAUGACUAGAUAUGAUUUAGCAUAUUUCUGUUUAUAAUUAAUAAGAACACCUUUAUAAGUAGUUAUGAGGCAACAACUUGUUUGAUAGAUCCUGCUGCCGAAAUUUUUGUUAAAUGUACAGGUAGGGUCCACUAGAUCUCCCUAUAUUCAGGGAUGGUUACUGGAAAAAUAUCCGGUUUAUCAUCUCCCUUUCUUAAUGCAACUCAAUCAGAUAUGAAAAUGCAUGAUCGGACUCUUUAUCUGGACAGGUAGUUUUCCUACUCAAGUUUUGCAGUAAUUUGUUUUUAUGUAGGACAUAUCAUCACAUUAUACAGAAGAAUCGCCAACAAGAUCUUUUGCACUCAUCAAAAUGUUCAUUGUAAAUUAUUAAUUGUGAAUAGCUUGAUGCAUAUCUCUCUUCAACCCUUCGAGUGAAAAGUGACAGAAGGAAAGAAAAUCUAUGAAUUGACCCCCAAUGAUAACAUCAAUAGAAUAGAAUAAUGCUUUGGUCAUUGGUAUCAAAAUAACAACUACAUAGCUUCAUAGAAGUAGCUCUUAGAAAUUUUUUCCAUUUAUCAUAUAGAACAUUUAUACCUGUGUAUUUCAUAAAUUCAUUUAUUGCCCUACCUCAUAGUUUCAUAAAAGUAGCUCUUAGAAAUUUUUUCCAUUUAUCAUAUAGAACAUUUAUACCUGUGUAUUUCAUAAAUUCAUUUAUUGCCCUACCUCAAUUUUUUUAAUCCAACUUGUGAUUUUCUUCUGUUCAUCUCAGAUUGAGUUGCAUUCAGUGAUAACUUAUGGUGAACUUGGAUCCUUAAAUUUAUUUUUUGAAACUAAUUUUCUUUAAAACUCACCAUCGCAGCUUAAUUAAAUUACAUUCAACAAAAAAUUAAAAAUACCGUCAUCAGAGUCUAACAAGAAAAGCAGAUUAUAUAGCAAAGGAAUAUCACACUGUUUACGACCUGCUCAUGCAAAGUGAACCCACAUUUACAAAGAUCAAUUUGAACAUUUUCCCGCCACAUUCUUAUAAGUAGAGAAAUAAGACACCAAUACUAUAUCAAUAUAACCUCUUUUAAGCAUGCAUGAACAACGAUAAAUUAUACAUAUAAGCAAGGAUUGCCAUGCCACCGGCAUGCAAGGCUGCCGAUUUGCAGUUGGCAUGAUACGGCAUUCUGGCAUAUUUCGGCAGCACCCGAAUCAUAUAUCAACACAAUAGGGACGGAAGGCACGUGGUUACCGUGAACUGCAGGGGCAGCACGUGUUCACCGUGCCAGACCGUAACAACAUAUAUGUUCCACCAAAUCAUCUAUUAACAUAUGCGGUGCCCUGUGAAGUCCGCUUUUCAUAUAAAUAUACCCCUCGAAAGCGCGGUCUCUAAAAAAAAAAGCUUAUCUUAUUUUGGGAAGUCGAUCAAUUCGUGGAGAAGUAGGUUUCAUAAAACAGAAGGAUUUCUGAAUGCGUUUAUUUUCUGCAGCAUAAGGGAAUACCUCCAUAUAUUAAGUUUUUGAUAUGCAUAUACAAAAAUUCACAUUUUAGAGGAAUAUAUAUAUGUUAGUAUAUAAUUCUACAUGUCAGAUGUAUAUAUCCCUAUUAUGGUGUUUAGAAGUCCCAUUCCAAAACAACAUGCAUUUGUUUAUGAUCACCAUAUAUGCAAAAUUGCAAAAUCUAAAGUUUUUAUUUUUCUUUUUCUGCCCCCAAAACAGGCAUUUGAAGGGCCAAUGUUCUUCAGCGUUUCAUCGAAAAAUUAAGAAGCAAGCCCAAUCCAUAUAUGCAAUCUCUCGUCCUAUCUAAUCCAAUUCAAAAUAAUAAUAAUUAAAAAAAAAAGAGGAUAAAGCAAUCCAUAUAUGCAAUCUCUCGUCCUAUCUAAUCCAAUUCAAAAUAAUAAUAAUUAAAAAAAAAGAGGAUAAAGCAGCAAUUUUCCGUUUUCACGAUCGUUUAGCGAGUUAGCAAAGUGGAAAUUUUUUACAAGAAAGAAAAAAAUAUAGAUAUGAAAUCAAAUGAGAAGGUUUCCAACCUGUUCGAUCUGAUCCCCCAUUCCGGGCCCUUGGACUUCGUUCUCCCUCUUUCCCGAAGCCAUGGCGAAACAAAUUGCGACAAAAGAAACAAAGAAAACGAAGCAGGGGAGUGGGGAUUAGGGUUUUGUAGGGAAAAUUAGGGUUUUGGAGAAGAGAUUGAGGAGCCCGGGCAUCUCCGCAAUCGUGCGUUAACCAAAAAGAGGGAAACAUACAUAUAAGAAAGAGAAGUGCGGGCACGUGCUAGUCACGUGAUCCGAGGUGAUCGGUGUACGUUCAGGUGGAGAAACUGUUGAGUGCACCGGGUGCAUUUGCACAUCUGGUGCACCGCUCAAUUUCAAUCCAACCAUCCAAAUCACUUUUCCAUCAUUGCUUGUUUGAUGCCACUGAAGCUCCUCUGAAUUACAAAUUAUUUUGAAUUUACUAUUUAAUCUUUUAAAAUUUUAAUUUUACUGCCAAUUUUUUUAAUUUAUUUAAUUUUAGAGGGUCAAUGGCACUUUAAUUUUAAAAUUUGAAUGUGGCAUUUAUCAUUAUCAAUUUAGUUAGUAUAUUUUUUACAAUUCUUAUAACUAUAAGUUUGUUAAAAUAAAUAAUUAAUUUAAAAUUUGAAGUCAAAAUACUAUUAACUAAUUCAAGUCAAACAAAAUAAAAAUUUGAACAGUAAAAUUAACAAUUUUAAAAAAUUAGAUAGUCAUUUUAAAAUUCACAGUGUUUUAUAAGUUCUUUUUUUUAUAUAUUAAUUCCACCAAAAGUUUCUAUACUAAAUAAAGAAAAAAAAAUGUAAGAAGAAUUUAUGAUAGUAAAUUUUUUUAUUAUUUUUUAGCUCUUUUUUCCUCUAAUAAAUUAACUUGUCAUCGGCUAGGAAGAAUCAAUUACGGGGUUAUAAAAAAAAAGUUGAGUUACAACAAGACUUAAUUUAUAACAAAAUUAAGUCUAUGAUUUUUUUAUUAUAUUUUUUACUAUCUUAUUUAAAAAAAAAAAGGUGAUAAACUUAUAUGUUAUUUUUUUAGUAGUUGCAUGUUUUUUCAACUUUUAUUAAUUGGAUACUCUAUAAUUUGAUUGGACACUCUUAAGUUUUCUUUAAGGUUUAAUUAAACUAUACUAUAUUCUACUCAAAGUUUCUCUUUUUAUAUUAGAGUGUGCUUGGUUCAAAAUGAGAAUGAAACCGGAAUGAAAAUCGAAAUGGACUGGAAUUUAAAACGGAAUGAUAAAAUCUUCCAAUAUGUUUGUUUCAGAUAAACAAUUGGAAUUGGUGUGGUUGAUUUAUGCUUUAAAAAUUUUUUAUUAUCAAAAAAUAUUUAAAAUUAAAAUAUAAAAUGUGAAAAUAAUUUGAAUUGAGUUUGCACCUCAAAACAUAAAAUUAAAUUCAUAAUUUAAAUUCAAACUAAAUGUCAAAUGGUAAAAAUUUGCAUCAAACUAUUAAAAUGAUAAGCCAAAAUUUUUAUUUUUUUAAAAAAAUAAAAUUUAAAAUUGAGUGGACAAUUCAAAAUAUAAAAUUAAUUUUUGAUUUGAUUCAAAUUCAAAAUUACUAUUAAAUUUAUAUAUCAAAUUCAAAAUGCUUGAUUGAAUUUAUAUUUUAAUUUAAUUUAAUCUAGAAUUAAAAUUUUAAUUUCUAAAUUUAAAUUUAUAUUUUAAUUAAAAAUUAAAGUCAAAAAAUUAAAUUAAAUUUUAAAUAAAAAAUAUUAAAAAAUAAUUGAGAUAUUUUUAUAAAAUACAUUCUUUUUGCUUGAAUUUUAACUUCCAAUCAGACUUCCUGAGCCAGAUUGGAAAAAAUGAUGAUUAGAAAAUUUUUAUUCAUCUGAAAAUCAAAAUCGAAAUAAGACUCUCGCAUGCCAAACACCUAUAAAGGAAUUCGUUCAUUCCGAUUCUGAUUUUGGAUGAAAAUGAGGCAAAGUAAAUACGUCCUUUAUGUUUUUAUUCGAAGACAUUGUUCCAUCUUUUAAUAUCUAUGUUAUAAGUAAUACAUUUAUAACUUUAAAUAAAAGUAGGCAGAUAUUUUAAUGGCUAAUUGAAAAUUUCAAAAGCAUAUACUUGACCUGUUUGGAAAUGAAAAAAAAAAACUAAAUAUAGUAAAUAAAUAAAUAAAUAAAAUAGUUGAAAACAACUUAAUAGAAACGCUCAAUAAGCUAUAUUAGGGACUCAUUUUGUUUUUUUAUUAUUUAACUAGUGUUUUUCAAUAAAGUUUAUACAUGUGGAAAAUACUCAAUAUCCUGUAUCUGAUUGGACUCAAUAUGAAUCUGAUUAAAAAUUGAUAGUAUAUUAAAAAUAAAAUUUUCCAUUAAAGUUUCAAGUAUAAAUCCAAAUAUCUUAUGUCUAUACCCUACUUGGACCUGACCCUGAUUUGAUCCUUUGGUGGGUAGAAGCCACAACAAUUUUUAUGUACGGAUUCCGACCCUGACUCAGAUAAAAUAUCCAACCAUUAAAAGUUAAAGCAAAGAGAACAAAAUAUAAAAAAUUGUGAAAAUUAAAAAUUUUAAUACUUAUGUUUGAAGGUCGGAUAAUUGACUUAGGUUUCAUUUGAGAUUACGAAGAGAUUGCGUUACGUGCGGUGAGAAAGUACGUUGAAAAAAUAUCCUGUUUGUUUUUAUACAUAAUAUUGCGUUCUGUAUAUCGCGAUGAGUUGGUUACGAUAUAUUUUCUGCGGUCCCACCGGAGAACGCAGAAACAUAUCUCUAUAUGCUUUUUUUCUUAAUUUCAUUUUAUUUAAUAGCGUUAGAUAGACCUCAAUCCCAAACUAAGGCUUAAAGUAGUUCAUAGUCCAAGUAAGUUACGAUACAUUUUUAACUCUUUAUUUUAACUAUUGUCAACUUAAAUUUUUUACCUCUUCUAUACUGAACUGAGCAUAGUCUUAGAGCUGAUUUGGUAUUAAGGACCGCCUAAAGCUAUUACAAAAAGUGGAGAUAUAUUUUUCCGCCUGCUAGUAGAAUUAUAGAAAUCUUAUAUGUCGCAGUGAAAAAUGAUAAUAUUUAUAUAAACAAAUAAGCUUUUCUUUAUAGAAAUCAUAUAUGUCGCCGUGAAACAUGAUAAUAUUUAUAUAAAAAAAUGACCUCCUUCCAAGUAAAGUCAAAAAGUAAAAAAUAUUUAAAAAAAGAUAUAUUUUUAGGCUGCGUUUGGUUCGGGUAUAAAUAAAAACUGCUAGUUCCAGGGAUAAGUACAAGUUCAGAUAUAAGCAGGAACCAGACCAAUUUUGCGUUUGGAUGAAAAAUUGAGUUGUUCCUAGGAAUAAGGUAAAUAGUGUUUGAAUGGUUAGAUUGGAACAAGAGGAAUAAGAGUUAUAAUUUGAAAUUAAAAUUAUAUUAUGCAAUUAGUUAACAUCAAAAUAUUACUUAAAAGUAAAUAAUAAAUUAAUUAUUAAUUAAUUAAUUAUAAAAUAAUAAUAUCUUAUUAAUUUAAUAAUUAGUUUAUAAAUAAUAAAUUAAUAAUAUUGAUUAUCUAAUUAAUAAAAUAAUUAUUAUAUAUUAUUAAUUAUUAAUAAAUAAUAGUAAUUAUUAAUUAUUCUUAUUAUUAAUUAUAAAUAAUAAUUAUAAUAAUAUUGAUUUUCUAAUUAUUAAUAAUAAUUAAAUUAAUAUUUAUUAAUAAAUAAUAAUUAUUAUUAAUAAUUAUUUAUAAAUAAUAAAUUAAUAAUAAUAUCGAUUAUCUAAUUAUUAAGAAUACAUAAUUAUAAUAAUUAUAUAAUAAAUAAUAAUUAUUAUUAUUAAUUAUUAAAUAAUUAAUUUAAAUAAUAAAUUAAUAAUAAUAUCGUUAUCUAAUUAUUAAGAAUAAUAAUUAUUAAUAAAUACAUGAUUAAUAAAUAAUAUAAUAAUAAUAAUUUAAUUUAUUAAUAAUUAAUUAUAAAUAAUAUAAUAAUAAUUAUCUAAUUAUUAAUAAUUAAUUAUAAAUAAUAAAUUAAUUAAUUAUUUAAUUAUUAAAGCAAUAAAUAAUAAUUUAAAUAUAUUAAUUAGAUUAAUUAAUAAUUUACUGUCAUUAAAAUUAAAUUUAGAUUUUAAUUAACCUUGUUCUCAUCGAGGAACAAGCUUGUUCCACGAAACAGGUGAAAUAACAGUUCCAGCUUUAUACCAGCUUGUUCCAGAUUUUCGGGAACUACUGUUCCCGGGAACCAAACAUACCGUUUAGGAACAAAGGGGGGAACAAGAGCUUAUUCCCCCCCUUGUUCCCGAUCCAAACGCUACCUUAGGAAUUAAACUCUAUAAACGAACUCCAAAUACGUUAAUUUAGACACCAUCCACUAAACUCAGUUAAGAUAUUGACUAUUAUAUAAAAUUAUAAUUACAAUUAGUAGUUGUUAAAACCCUAUCAACUAAACUUGGUUUCAGAUAUAGAUGAUUAUUAUUAAUUAAAAUUGAAAUUAAAUUAAAAAUAAUCGUGACUAACAUCAAAUUAAAAUUAAAACCAAAAAAUAAUUGAAAUGAAUAAAAUAAUUGAACUAAACUCGAGUUGGAGUAUAUGCUCAUAAAGUAAAUUAUUAAAUAAGUAUUACUAUUUUUUAAUUUUAGAUAUAGAUAGUUAUUAUUAAAUUAAAAUGUCAAAAUUAAAUAUAAAAUUUUGUUAGACAUAUAUGAUGAUUAUCAUUAAAUCAAAUUUAAAAAUCAAUUAAUUCAAAAUUAAAAUGUUAAAAAACUUAAUUACGCCGUUGCCGGGGAUCGAACCCGGGUCACCCGCGUGACAGGCGGGAAUACUCACCACUAUACUACAACGACUUCACACUUAAAGUUCUGAAAUUUAAAUUUAAAUUUAUGUCUAAAGUUUUAAAUAAUAGCUUAAAUUUAAAUUUCAAAAAAACUUCUAAUUUGAAAUAUAUGCUAUAGAGAGAGAGAGAGAAAUAUUUAAGCUGCGAUAAUUUGAUUUGCACAAUGCAUUAAUUUGGAUUUUAGCGAUGUCGAUGCGAUGUGGAUAUCAGAGAUGUGAUGUGGAUAUCAGAGUUUACUCUUUUAUAAAAUCCGAAUUCAGAGUAGAGAGUUGCAGAUUAAAACGGACGAUGAUUUUGGUGAUAGAACAAAUUAAAAUAAAUUAGACAAAAGGGGUUCGGUUUAUCAACGUUUGAUUUCAUAAGGAGAAAUUUGCCAUAGUAUCAAAAAUGGUGUAAUCCAAGUCAAUUAUAAAAUAAUAAUAAUAAUUAUUAAAAUAUUAACCUAUUUCUUACAUUUUUAACUUUUAUAUUAUUCAUUUUUUGUUAGACAAAUAAUAGAAUUAGAGGAACCCAGCAAAAGAGAAGCAAUUUUCACAUGUAAUCUAAUUUACUUGAAAAUCUGAUUCAAUCUGAACUUUAUUUUUCAAGUUUUGAAUUUUUUUAGAAAUUCAGUCAUGAUCUUCGACUCUUUUUCAGUUUUUCAAUUUUUCUGAAAAACGAAAUUAUAAUUGCAACUCGCCAUAAACUAAAAUGUUUAGAAUUUAUCUGAAUUAUGAACCAUUUUGAUUUAGUUAUUCAUCUUUUAAAAUUCUGACUUUACUAUCUAAUCUAUCAAUUUGUUUGAUAUCAGUUAUUCAACAAUACUUUGACUUUAAAAUUUAAGCUAAUUAUUUAUUUUAAUAAAUUCAUAGUUGCAAAAAUUACGUAAAAUAUACUAAUUUAACUAAAUCCCUAAAGAUAAACGGCGCAAUCAAAAUUUGAAAUCAAAGUACCGUUGAUUGAUUCAAAUCAAACAAAUUGAAAGAUUAAAUAGUAAAAUCAAAGCUUUAAAAAAUUAAAUAACUAAAUCAAAAUACUUUAUAAUUCAGAUAAAUUUUGUAUUUAUUUACCAAAAUUUGCUAUCAAUCCCAGCGUACAGCUGACGUCCUGAAAUCAAGCUGCUUUAGUUUUGAAACUGCAGGUCCGAAAUAUUCUCUGUCCCCUACUUUGGCUCCCUACAUUAUUGUGUAGUACUCUGUAAUUUAUGAACUUAACUAAAUUAAAUUUUUGGAAGAUAAAUAUUCAACAUCCUGAUUUUUCUCCCAAAUUGUCACACUACUUAUUAUUAAGAUUGUUCUUGGAUCAUCAACCUAAUUUAAAAUUAUAUGAUCGAACCCGAUAUCAAACCAUCUUAUUUACUGUUCAUACGGUUUUGAGAUUCGUAUAUUUUUCGUGUUAAAUGACAAAUAAGAUUCUCACGGUCAGGACGGUCGUCAUCAAAUUUUUAUUUUGAUAUCACUAUAUUAAUACUGCAUAUGGCAUUGUUCGACCAUUCUCCGAUCAAAGUGCUAAAACUAUCUUAGUAUCUGUUUCUUGAUUUGUAGAUUAAUCUUUUCAAUAAUAUAGUACAAAGAAAGUCUGAUCUAAUUAAGCGCCUAAAUAUUAUGAUGUGUUCUUUAUUGUAUGCUUGAACGAGAUUGUUAAGGUUUUUUUUUUUUUUUUUAGAGAUAGGUAGCAUUAGGGAUGCAAACGGAUCCGGAUUUGUGGAGCUCCUGUCCCGAUUCGUUUCGAAUAGAGCAGUAAAGGAGAGAAAAUAAACGGAUUCAGGAGGUAAUUUUUAUGAUCCGAGAUGAAUUCGGGGCAAAAAAGGGGAAAACUUUGACCUGCCCUGAAUCUGCCCCGAAUCCGUUCCAUUAUGAUCCCUCGGCCCCAAAAAUUAUUUAUAUUUUAAAAAAAUAUUUCUAAAAAUAAUAUAUUUAUAAAAAAGUCAAAAAUACAAAUAAUUUAGUGCUCUCAUUUCUCAUGUAUUUGAAAUUUUUGUAUUUUGCUUUGAAUUGUGAUUGAUAUUCUUAAUUUUUAUAAUUAAUGUUGUUAAUUAUAUAUAUAAUAUUAUUAAAAAUUAUUAAUUUAUAUUUUACAAAAUAUUAAUAUAUUAUAAUUUUAUAAAAAAUGUUAGUUAGAGCGGCGGAUUUGACGCGUCGACGAGAGGCGGUUUACGAGGUAGGGCGGAUUAUGGGAUAUAUUUUUUAAUUUUGUGGAAAAACUUUAAAAACCUCCCAUGUGGUUUCGCACUUUUUUAUUUUAGUACCCUGUCGUUUAAAGUGUAUCAAGUUAGUACCAUGUGGUUUCUCACUUUAUCACCUUAGUACCCUGUGGUUUAAAAUAUAUCUAGUUAGUACUCUGUGGUUUUAUUUUUAUAUCAAGUUAGUACACUGUGAUUUUAUUUUUUUAUCAAAUUAAUAUCCUUUAAACCACAGGAUACUAAAGUGAUAAAGUGCGAAACCACAGAGUACUAACUUGAUACACUUUAAACCACAGGGUACUAAAGUAAAAAAGUGCAAAACCACAAAGUACUAACUUGAUACACUUUAAACCACAUGGUAGUAAAGUGAGAAAAAGUAAAACCACAAGGGGUGUAUUUGAAGUUUUUCCUAUUUUUUAAUCCGUCACGCUUGAAACCUCAUAUACCAACCAUCAAAUCCUUUGCCACUUAUGCUAUGUACAGUCGGUAUGUUAAGGCUAUUUUAAAAUCAUAUUUUGAGAGAUUAAUUUUUUUUUUAUAUUUUGGGUUGCAAUCACAACAACUCAUCAUGAGACCAUGCCUUCACUUUUAUCAACACACCAUUAUGAUUAUCUUAAUUAAAGUGAUAACCAUGGGCCCACUGCAUAAAAAAAAAGGGGCGUGAAUUUAUCAAUCUUUCCCUUCCGCGUUGAGAAAUAGAGACCAUAUAUGUUCACAAAAAAUAAAUAAAUAAAAAAGAAAAAAGAAAACAUUUUGUGCCGUAGUACAUACUUAUAAAUAAUUCAACCAUCAAAUAUUUAUGUAAAAAAAAAUCCUAUAAAAAAUAAACAUUGAAAUUGAACAUGAUUAUUAAAUACCAUAGGUUUUUUUUUUUUAUAUUUAGCCUCUUUAAAAUAUUUAACUUAUAAUUAUAGAAUAAUCCUAAGCUGUUAUGUAAAUGCAAUGCCGGAAAAAAUUAAUAAAAAUAUUUUGUAUAAAUACGGUAAAUAGUUUAUACUAUUCAAAAAUAAUACAUAACACAUGGUAAAUAAUUUAUUAUAUUUAUAUAAAAUAUUUAGUUGAUCUUCUUCUAUUGUUCAAUAUGAUGUCUAUGUUAACAAUAUAGAAUUAUUUUUAUAUUUAAAUUUUUUAUAAGAUCAGUUAUAUAAUAAAAAAAUUUGUAAGUCGUUGAAUUGGAUGCANAAAAAAAAAAAAAAAAAAAAAAAAAAACCACUCAGUGAGGAAAAAGGUGAAAAUGUACAAAGACCCCUCGUCAAUCAGCCAAUUUGAAAUAAGUUCCUUAACUUUCGUUUUCCGUUGGAUUUGGGACGGAUUUUGAAAAAUCUAAAUCCGAAUCUGACUAUCAAACUCGAAAUUUGAUCCCGAAUUCAAAUUUUAUGAAUUUUUAAAAAUUUAUAUCCAAAUCUGAGUCCGACCAAAAAUUCGAAAUCCGAAUCUAAACCCGAACCCGAAAAUCUGAAUCCGAAAUAAUUAUUUCUCUUUACAGUGUUUCAAAAUAUAUUACAUUAAAUCUAAAUUUUUAAAAUACAAAUUUAAAUGUAACAUCAAACAUUUAUAUGUAUAUUAUAUAUAACAUAGAAUAAUUUCAGAUUCGGGUCGGAUUUGGGUUUGGAUCAUAUACAAUCAAAAUUCAUAUUCGAAUUCAAAUUUGUCGGAUUUUCGUUUUUGAUAUCCAUAUUCGAAACUAUAUCUAUUUAGUGUCGGAUAAAUCCACUCCGUUCAAUUCGGGUUCAAAUAAAAUUUCGAAUAUCCGUAUCCAUUGACAUCUCUACCCUGAACGAUCCUCCACUUCCGAAUUUUUUAUGAAAAAAUGCUAAGUGUGUAGGGAUGUACAUUCAAAUAACCAAGGAUUCAUAAAUUUUAUUGUUUUCAGAAAAUAAAAAAACAUUAAUAAGAACACUAGAUUAAUAAGAUCAUGAAAUUUCUUGGUGUGAACUUUAGGCUUAUAAUUUUAUACGGCUUCACACAAAGGUGGAGCAUAGCAGAUAAAACUAUACAAACCUUAAAUAAUUAUAUUUAUUCCUCUAAAAAUUUUAUGAUUUGAAAAUAUAUUUCUCCAAAAGAUCUGAUAUAUUUAUAUUUAUUCUUGUUAUUUGAUUCACUGUGACAUGAUCAUUUUAUCCUUACAAAUUUAUGCCUACAAAACUAAUCUUUUUCUCUCUAGUCUCUCGUCUUUCCAACCAAUCACACGGCGCAUUUCAUCUACGCUGCGGUUGAGGGCCUCAUCUUCGACGCUGUCGUUGUUGUAGAUCUCACCACCGCCAUGGACAUAAAGGAGAGGGAGAGAAAGAUUACGAGAUUUAUUUAACUGCAGCUAAUUAUUUUUUUACUAAAUAAUAUAUUUACAGACUGAAGGAUUUCAAAGAAACGAAUAUAAUCACUUGAGUUUUAUAAGAAUAUACGUUAUUUUUGCAAAAUGCCGUACGCAAUUGUCCUAAACUUUAUAACUACAAAAAAGGUAUAUAAAUAGUAUUGCUCGUAAAGAUAUUCAAAUCAAUUAAAUUCUGGUUAGAAAGUUUUUUAAAUAAUUUAAAAUAAGAUUUAUACUCAUGAUCUUGUAUAUUUAUUUUCAGUUGCUUAUUUUUAUAUUCACUUGAUGGACAAAAGAAAGAUAUCGAAAAAAUAUAAAAUUUAAUUUUUAAUUAUUUCAAAUGAUAUAUAUAGAUCAUAUCCAAUAAUACUGAUCGUCAAUUUGGAGGCGUCAUCAUAAAAAAUAAUUGAAUGACAGCAGAGCUCAUUUGGCACUGAUAGCAUUCUAGCUUAACACACUCUCUCUCUCUCUCUCUCUCUCUCUCUCUCUAUAUAUAUAUAUAUAUACUCUCAUCAUCUUUAUCAUUACCAAUUAAUCUAAGAUCAUGGGUAGAGCUAGUGCUAAACUCCCGAGCUUCUGCUUAAGCGGAGUCGCCACCCGAAUAAGGAUUAGACCACCAGCUGCAGCUGCAGCUGCAGCAACGGCGGCAGCGGCGGCGGCAGCAACAGCAGAGGCCGGCGUCGGGAAAAAACCCGAUUCAUGUCAGGCUGCCGACACUCGCAUGCGGCGACGCGAGGCCGAAAAAGAGUAUCAGACGCGACGAUGCGGAUGCGGCGACAAGGAGGCGAAAAGGAGGACGCCGAGGUGGUGAUGGUGGCCGUCGACCGCAGCCCCGACGCGAAGACGGCGCGUGCUGUGGGCGCUCUCGCACGCCGUGCAGAGCCACGACAGCCUCCUCCUCCUCGACGUCGUCAAGCCUCCCAAGCAGAAGUACUGGUGUGCACAUUACAUUUACAUAUAUAUAUAUAUAUAUAUAUAUAUUUAUUAUAUUAUAUAUAUUAUAUACACAAAUUUUUUACAUUUUUUUUUAUUUAUUUUUAGAAAAAAUUGUCGAUUAUCGUUAUAAAAUUCUCAAGUUCUUAAUUAAGUAUGUUCUUCUGUAAAAAUUAAUUAAAGAUGUGUAGGAAAAAAAAGAAAUUUUUAGGAAUGUAUUUAAAAUAAAGGAUAAAUAAGAAAUUAGCGAGUUUUACAAAAAAUACGGAAGCAAGAUUAAUUCUAUUUAUUUUACAUGCCGUUUAAUUAGAUGGAGGGAAAAAAAAAAGGAGAAAUUAAUCAGAAAAUAAAAUAUUUUAUCGCGUUUGAGAUCUAAACUUGUUGAGGAGAGGCAAGGAAAUUAAAAGAAUGCAGGAGAAAAUGAUUUUCAUAGUAGUCUUUUUUUUUUUUUUUUUUUUUUUUUAUCCUUCAAGAGUGGAAGAGAAAAGAGGAAAAAGCCCAUUUUCUUCUUUUUUUUAUUUUCUUUUAAUCUAAAUAGUAAAAGAGUAGAUUAUUAUUAUUAUUAUUAUUAUUAUUUUCUAUUCUCUUCUAUUCUCUGCUUCCGAAAAGACCAGUUAAAAUUAUUUCUAGAACCGUCCGAUUCGAAUAAAAUUAAAAUUAUACGUCACGCCCUGAGAUCCGCAAGAUUUAUUGUAAAUUCCCCACCAAUGCUUUAAUAUCCGUGCGAGGGCGGUCCGAUGAGAGGCUACACAUGAGUCUAAUAAGCCAAUUUCGACGAGGUCACAUCAAAAUGGUUUUAAGGUUACAUUUGAACUAUUUUCUAUUACACCGAUCUUUCAGAUAAUAUUAAGUUUAUUUAUGAUUUAUGGGUUCUAAUUACGUAUGGAAAAAUAAAUUCUAGCUGUGUUAUUUAUUUAUUAUUUAUUUAUUUAUUUUUACGGUGCGCAGAUAAGCAGUGUGAAAAGGAGAGAGGUCCAAAGGAUUACCAACUUCUCUACGCCAUGAAGAGCAUUUGCCAAACGAAGAGGCCUGAGGUGAUUAAGCAUUCCAUGUCACCAUUCCUCGUUUUCAUAAAUUAAUUGUGAAGUAAAUAAAUUACUAUUUAAUUUUUAUUUUGAUGAGCAUAAAUUAAUUAAUUACACAUUACAAAUUAUUAAAAUAUUGUGAGCAUCUAGCAAAUGUCUAGAAAAUUUUAGCUGAAGUAAAAGAUAAAAAUUAAUUAUAUGAUACCACUUUAAUAGGAAACAGGCCAAAAGAUAUAUAUUGACAAUAUAAAAUGUAAAACAACUAAGUUUCGAACUUAGAAUCUCGAAUACUAACAAGUCCUUAGCCAAUUGCGCAAAGUAUAGUUAGCAUGUGUCUAUUUUCUAACAUCGAGUUUUGUAAAAUCAUAAGAGGCAAGAAUAAUAGUUCUAUAUUGGAUACAAAUAAAAUUUUGAUCUGUAUAUAGUAUAGAGCUUUGGGACUGAGCCCGAGCACUUUAAUCUGGUAUUUACGCUACUUGCGCCUAGUAUAUGAAUUGAAUCUCCAUUACGUAUUAAUACGUAGACUUUAUGAAUCUGUGCUCUAACAGCUUACGCUUUUGGAUUGAGACCUCGCCCUUUAACAAUAAGUUUUUCUUAUGAAGCAUGAGCAAUUUUCAUGCAAAUUAAACUGUGGAUAGGUAGUGGAUAUGUCUUCAAUUUUGCCAACCACAUUAUCUGUGUGGGCAUCAUAAGAACACAUGACAUCUCAACACAUAGUACCCCUCUUUACCUUUUUUCUUUUUCUUUUUCUUUUUUUUUAACCCCCCUCCUCUGACCAUUCAGCUUUGUGUCCAACUUUUCCAGGGCCCUCUUAACUAUUUAGCAGGUUCAGGUUGGUGGAUCUUGUUUUAUAUUAAAAAGUAAUUUGAAGUUUAUGUAAAAAUAAUUAGUCCUAAGCAAAUUCUCAAAGUAACUUUUUAUAAAAUUAUGUCUUUUAAUUGUUAAUUUUUACAUGGUUAAUUAGAUAGCGUUUUGUCACGAUGAUUUUGAUUUCACUAAUUUCCAAUUCUCUUAACGAUCAUUUUUCGAAACUGCUAAACUACUUAAUUACCCAACACCAUUAGCCAUCUAUUUCAUCACAUAUCUCAAUCCCAAUCAUGUGAAAUUACAGAUCUUAAGAGUAAUAGUUCCAUAACAAAUAUAAAAUAAAAUUUUAAUCCGUAUAUAAUAUGAUGGGUAUUUUUACCUUAACAACUUAAACUUUUGAUUGGAUCUGAGACCUUUUGAGAUGCCCCAGCUUUCCAGAGAGUCAUCUAUCCUAGAAUUACUCCCGUCCUAGCACGUUUAAUUCUGUUAACCUAUUUGGCCUAGCCACCAUCCAAAAUAUUUAAGCCGUCCUUUCAAGCCCUAAUGUUUCCGUCAGGCUCAGAUUUACAAGUUUCAAACGAUGUGAGACUUGUCCACUAGUCUAAAUUGAUCUUGUGGAGGAGCCAUGCCUACCCACAACAGUCAACAGCAUGAAAGUCUCGCUCUUUCCGCUGUACAAUUCUGGCUCAGUCGAGAUUUAUUUCACACUUCCGGUUGGUAAUUGGCGCUGAUAUCAUCUAUGACGCCCCAACUUUUCAGAGGGUCAUCCAUCCUAGGACUACUCCCGUACUAGCAUGCUUAACUCUCUUAAUCUUUUGAACCUAGUUACCACCUAAAAUACUUAAGCCGGAUUAAGAGUUUAGCCUUAUUAUAUCAUAUAUAUAUAGGACUAUCAGGGGUCUCACAAUCUUCCCCCUUUUAAGCCCCAACGUCCCCGUCAGACUUAGACUUACAAGUAUCAGGUGAUGUGAGACUUGUCUCGCUAACUUAAAUCGACAUUUGGGGGAGCCGCGCUCUACCCACAACAGUUAACAAUAUGAAAACCUCGCUCGUGUCAGGCUCAGAUUUACAAGUAUCAGGCGAUAUAAGAUUUAUCUCGCUAGCCUAAACUGACAUUUGGGAGAGCCACGCUCCACCCACAACAGUUAACAGCAUGAGAGAGCCGCGCUCUUCCCGCUGUACAAUCUUGGCUCAACCGAGACUCAUUUAACACUUACGGCUGGUAAUUGCCUCUGGUAUUAUUUGUGACGUCGCAGCUUUCUAGUGGAUCAUCUAUGCUUAACUCUCUUAACCUCUUGGACCUAACCGCUAUCCAAAAUUCUUAAGCCGUGUUAAAAAUUUAGCCCUAUUAUAUCUUAUAUAGGUUUAUAUAGGACUAGCUGGGGUAUUAUUUUGUAUUACUAGGAAUGUAGAGUUUAAGUCGCAUUUUCUAUUUAGUCAUAUUUAGUACAUAUAAAAUUAUUUGCCCGACAUGUUAGUUGUGUCUAGUACGUGAAUUGAAUUUGUGUUAUAAAUUAAGCAAUACUUUUCCCAACUAAGGAGAGUCAAAUAGUCUGCAUAAAUUAAGAACUUAGGUGUUAGAAUUAAAUUAUUGGUCCCAAACAUUUUUCCGAUAAUUUUUUUGGGUUUUUUUAAUCAGUUUCUAAUCAUUGCUAUUUGUUUUAAUUAAUUGUGUUUUUAGAAAACAUAUUAACAUAGACAAAAACAGUCACAUCGAACACCAACCAAUAUUUGUCACAUUAGUCCCUAACCUUUAUCUAUUUUUUUUUUAAUUUGGUCCCCAACUUCAAUUCACUCUUUUUAUCACAAUCAGAUCCCUAACCUUUAUCUUUCUUUCACUUUGAUCUCCAAUUUUUCUUUUUUUGUACAUAUACCCUUACUACGCUCAUAUUAAAUUCUUUCAUAAAUUUAAAAGCAUAUUAUGAUCGUUAUCUGUAUGAGCAGAUAAAGUUUUAUUGAGAUUGACCGAAAAAAAAAAAAAGAAGAAAGAAAAAGGAACCAAAGUGAAAAAAGUAUAAAGCUCAGGGAACUAAAUUGCGUGGUUAACUUUGUUUUUCAUUUAUUUUUUCUUUUUAGUAAUAAUUAAGGUUAUAUUGAUGGAUCCUCCAAGAGAGUUUUUGGGUUACUAAGUCUACAAAAAUUUUUAAAUAUAAAAAUAGAUAUUCAAAAUUUGUAUUUGUAAAAAUAGGCCGAUAAAAUUGGUGAAUCAUUCACUGCUUUCUAAAAACGAUAAAUAAUUCAUCACUUUUAUUCUAAUUUAUAUAUAUAUUUGUUAAAUCCAAACUUAAAAGAUGUAAAGUAUUAAACACUAAAAUUAGUUCUAAUUUUUUGAAGAAAUGAUGAAUUUAUAAAGUAGUAAUUCAUUCACUGCAUAGAUUUCGUUACGUAAAUAAAAUUGUUUUAAAAAUUAUUUGUAUAAUAAUUAUAGUAUUUUUUAAGAUUAUUAAUAAAAAAAAAUUCUCCGCGAACAACCAUAGGUCCACGUGGAGGUGUGCCUAGUGGAAGGGCGGGAUCGCGGACCCACCAUCGUGGAGGAAGCGGGGCGGCGGCGCGCGUCGCUGCUCGUCGUGGGGGGCCCGCGGCGGCGAUCGCCGGCGCUGACGUGGCGUCUCCUCGUGAUGUGGGCCCUCGGCGCCGACUUCGGCGGCGGCAACGCCAGGAUCGGAUCCUCCUCCGUCGCCGACUACUGCGUCCACCACGCCGCCUGCACUGCCCUCGCCGUGCGCCGCAAGGGCCGCCGUGGCGGCGGAUACCUCCUCACCACCAAACGCCACAAGGAUUUCUGGCUCCUCGCCUAAAUUUUACAGAUUAAAUGCAGCUGAGCGGUCCGAACUUCUAUAAAUUUGCAUGCAGGAAUUGAUAUUGACAAAGCUAUUCCGAUAUUGUCAGAGCAAAUAUACAUACUUUUUUGCUCUGACGAUAUUAAGAAUAACUUUGACAACAUCAAUUCUUUUAGCAUAUGGUCAUCUAAAUUUUCAAAAAUUUAUAAUUAAUUACAUGAAUUUAUAUUUCAUUAAUUUAAAGCGAUUGAUAUUAGCCAAUUAAUCGAGAAUGAAUGCCAUAAAUUAAUCAAAAUUAAUUAUCAUAUGUAAUUUAUAAAAAAUAAAUCUCAAGCAAUAAUUUUUAUAGUAUAAAACUGAACUUCACAUAAAUAAAAUCUCUUCUGCAUUGUCGGCAUUUAUACUUUAUUAUUUCUCGAUCAUUUGGUUAAUAUUAGUCGUUUUAAAUUGCCCAAAUAUAAAAUUUAAAUUGUCAAUUAUAAAAUUUUGAAAGUUUAGAUAGAAGUAUAAUUUCUUUUAAAGUUUAAGUGAUAAACAGAAGAAAUUUCGAGUGAGUGUGAUGCAUUUUAACCCUUAUUUAAUUACUUAAUUAAUUAAUUAAGGGUUGUUUAGUUAGUUGAUUGGGUGGUUGGUGUGAGAAAUAUAAGUUUGGGUGAGUGUGAAUUUUUUUUUUUUUUUCCCCCUCUCCUCUCUCUCUCUCUCUCUUGUGAGAUAAAUGAGUUUUUGUUUGUAAAUGUGAGGAAUAAAUAAAAGUAAAUUAUAUAUGCGAAAUGCUAUACUAGUAUAUUUUGCAUCUGUCCUACUUGAAAUAUGUAAAAUAAACAUAAUGAAAAAUAUUUGUCACACCUUAUAAAUAAAUUGUUGUAAAAAUUUACCGUGGACAAAAUAUUUUUCAUAUUGAAAAAAAGCUCAAUAAUUUUUUCUGUAAUUUUUUUAAUAAAUAAAAAUAAUUAUUGGAGCUUAAAAAAACCAUUUAUUUGGGCCUCAAAUUUGUUGAAUCUAUUCUUUCACAAUUUAAGCCUCAGCAACAAACUGGCCUUAUAUUUUAUACGUUAAAUGAAAGAUUAAUUAACUAAAGAUGCCUUAUUAUCUUCUCUUUAAUUUUCAUUUAACCCUUAUUUAUUACUUAAUUAAUUAAUUAAGGUACAUUUACUUUGCUGUUUGGUUGAUUGGUGCGUGUGGGAACUAUAUGGUUCGAGUGCGACUGUGCGAAUGUGUGUAUUUUUUCUUUUUUUAAGAUAAAUGUGUAUUUAAUUUGUUUGUAAAUGGGAUUAAAAAUAGAACGAUAUUACAUAUUGUUAAAUACGAAAUAUAUAUGUAGUGUCUUAAGCUUUAGAUAAAUAAAUUGAAUGUCCCACGUUAUUUCACAGAGCUAUAUACUCUUAUUAAAAAAAAAAUUUCAUUUAAUUCAAGUGAACAUUUUGAAUCAAUGAAAUGAUUUCGAUCUCAACCGUAAGAGGAAAUGUUGAAUAUAUAUAAAUAAUAAAAAUAUUAUUUUUUGAUAAAUUAAGUUUUUUAAUACAAAUAAUAUUUUUAUAUAACUUACCAUAUAUGUGGUGUAAUUAAUGAGUACAAUAUAUAAUUGUCAUAACAUUUGUGCAAAAAGAAGUAAUAAGAGCCUGUCACGUUAGCGGAAGUAAACUAUUGUAGAAUUUUUUAGGAUUAAUUGUAAACUAGUAGUCUCUGCAAACAUGAUAAAUUAUAGAUAUAUCUUUACAAAACUUAACUUUCAUAAAUUAUUUCUGUAAAAAUCUUAAUAUAUUUAUAUAUGUCCAUGCCGUUAGGGACUUUUAGAGAAAUUUCGUUAGCCACAGUUAAAAUACUUAACCAUGAUUAAUUAAUAAGGUGAAUUGAAAAUUUUAUCCUUCUUCAGCUUCCGCUUCAUCUCGCUCUUCUUCUUGUUGAAAUGGCCAUCGUCGUCGUUGUCGGAGAGGGAGGAGAUGCGGCGGGCCAUCGCGGUGGAGAAGGAAGGUGAAGAUGGAGCUGCAGCAACUGGUGCUCGCGAUCCUCAACGACCCCGUGGUGAGCCGCGUGUUCGGGGAGGCCGGGUUCCGGAGCUGCGACAUCAAGCUCGCGAUCCUCCGCCCCCCGCCCCGUUCGUAGUGUGUCUCGACCCUAACGUUCUGGGCUUCACAGGCGCGUGGGCCUAGCCCUCUUGUUUUAAGCUUCCGAGCCCGGGCCGCCCCGCACCGGGUGCGUGGGCUCGGCCCUCUCGUUUUGGGCUUUCCGACCCGGCUCGUCCGGCACCGUGCGCGUGGACCCGAACCGAUCUCGGGAGCGUGCGGGCCAGGCCCGCCCAGCCGGGUUGUAGCGGGCUUGCGGGCGACCUCGUGGACCCUGCCUGGUUGUAGCGCGCCUGCGGGCCCAGCCCGCUCUUCAGUGUUGUAGUGGGCCAGGCCCGGUUGUAGUGGGCUUGCAGGCUUGACCAGCCUAGCCCCGCCCAGCCCGUUUGUAGUGGGCUUGCGGCCCGGCCCGCCAGGCACCGGGCUCGUGGGCUCGGCCCGUUCUUAGUGAUAUCGCUCAACUAAAUUAUUUAAUUUAUUGACUAAAUUACUGAAAAUCCUUUUAUAAAUAUUCGAUUUUUUAAUUUUUUUUUUCCCAAAGUUACNAUUAUAUCGCUCAACUAAAUUAUUUAAUUUAUUGACUAAAUUACUGAAAAUCCUUUUAUAAAUAUUCGAUUUUUUAAUUUUUUUUUUCCCAAAGUUACCGGAUCAAUAUGUCAAAUUAUUGCAUUUAGCCCACUCCAUCAAUUCUAUCACUAUUCCUUCUAUUUCUUAUAAUUUAUACUGAAAAUAUUCUUCAAAAUAAUAGAAACAUAUUAACAAAAUAUUUUUUUCUUAUAGUACAGUAACUUUGGCUCUUAAAAUAUUCAAAUUUUUUUUUUUCUGUUUUAAUGCCUCAACAAAAAUAGGCCUAUUCGAGUUACUUGACUUUAAUUUGUUGAUUAUUAAGGAAAACUAGCAAUUAAACUAACUUUGCUUGUCACAGAUAACAACAUUGGAAUUUCUUCUGUUUUUUUUUUUUUUUUUUUUUNUUUUUUUUUUUUUUUUUUUUUGAUAUAUUUAGAAUUUAGGGUUUAGGACCCAAAAGUUGUUAAGACCCCUACUUCUAAAGAUGAAUUUCUCAUCAAAACAAACAAGAAGAGUAACAAAACCUUACUUUCUUUAAUUAUAAUUGAAAAUAUAAAAAUGUAUAGAACUUAUUUGAACUAUGACACAUUUUGAUCCGAUUAUCUAAUCUUUAGAAAAUCUGAUUUUAAUACCUUAUCUUUUAAUUUACUUAAUUUAAACUCUUUAGUGACUUUAAAAUUUCAAAAUUUAAAUAUAUUGUUUAUUUUCCUGGAUCUGAUUAGCAUAUAUCAUAUAAUUUAUGCAACAAUAAUUUCAUUAAAUUAAGUACCAUGCCUGAAAUUUGUAUUGGGAGAGCCAUGAAAUUGCUUGUAUCAAUAAAUGGAAAGGUUGGGUACCAAAAUCCAACUUUUAAAGAUGGGGUACUUGUUGAAUCAAAAGGUGCCAAAGUUCUCCUAAGUUUUAUACAUUUUUACGAAUUAAAAAUGUAACACCCAAAACUAUGGGAAAAAACGUAAACAAUUUAUCUGAAUUAUAGAUCAUUUUAAAUUUUGGCUACCCAAUCUUUCGGAAAUUUGAUUUUACUAUUCCACCUGUUUGAUUUGAGUCAGUCGAUAAUAUUUUGACUUUAAAUUUUAAAGGCAAUUACUUACUUUAAUAUAUUUAUAGUUACGAAAAUUAUAUGAGGGGCUUUUUUUGCAAAUAGCCUCCUUACAAAUUUUUUUUUAAAAUUGGCCUUGUCAAAAAUUUAUUUGCAAAAAUGGUCCUGGCCCCGCCACGCAAGCGCCACGCGGGCGGGGCUGGACCAGAUGGUUAAGUUGAACACGGUGAACCAUUCACCGUGUUCAAUACAAAAUAGCUAAGAUCGAAAUAUUUGUAUUGGACACGGUGAACCAUUCACCGUGUCCAGUACAAAUAAUUGGACACGGUGAAUGGUUCACCGUGUCUAAUACAAAUACCUCCAACUUAGUCAUUGUUGGGGUAUUUGUAUUGGACACGGUGAACCAUUCACCGUGUCCAAUACAAAAAUCUUGUAUUGAACACGGUGAAUGGUUCACCGUGUUCAACUUAAAUAUCUGGGCCCGCCCUGCCCGCGUGGUGCUGACGUGGCGCUGGCGUGGCAGGGGCAGGGUCAUUUUUGCAAAUAAUUUUUGGACGGGGCUAUUUUUACAAAUAAAAUUUGUCAGGGGGCUAUUUGCAAAAAAAGCCCUUAUAUGAGGUAUACUAAUUACAAAAUAUAUGUAAAGUAAAACAACACAUUUAAAAUUUUAAAUCAAAGUGUCGGUGACUGAUUAAUUGUAACAGCCUAGCACACUAGCAACAAUAACUCGUUGUGUCCAAUCACUAGCCCAAAAUGCUUAAGUCCAGUUAUUAUUACUAGUGUCUAAAUCUUUUAUAUACCUAAUCAUAUCUCCAUUCCUAUCCGAUGCAUGUGAGAUUAUUGGAGUGUGACAUUAAUAAUAUUGAAAAAGUAUAAAAUUUGGUUUCUAGAUGCUUCAAAUGGUAUAGAUUGUGUUAAACGGUGUUGAUCGUCAAUUUGAAGACUUUAUUAUUAAAAACAAAUGAGUAGCAAUGACGGUCAUUCCAUCGAUGAAAACAAAUGAAUAGUAAUGAAGCACGUUUACUACUGACAGUAUAACAACUCAACUAUCUCUCUCUAUAUAUAUAUAUAUAUGAUUAAGUUCUAAAUUUUUUAUUAUUUUGCACUGCUUCAAGGUGAUCUCAUCAUUCUCUCACUUCAUCGUUGCUGUUGUCGCUGUCGUCGCCGCUACUGACAUUCAGAAAAAUUCACUGUUGUUGCCGCUGCUGACAGUCGGAAGAGUUUCCGGUGGGCACCGCCACAGCAGCCACUAGUGUGGUUACCAUGUCAUGGUCGUCGCAUAAAUUAAAAUCUUGGCAACUGUUGCUGCCGUCGCCGCCACCACAGAAAUAAAAAUCUUCGUUAGUGUACCACACAAAAAAGAGUUCACUUUUAAAUGGAAUUAUUAGGUUAGAUUAUAUUUCACAGAGAUAUUGUUGGAUAUAGAAGUGGUCUCUAUUUUCUGAGAAGCCUGUCGGCAUUUUCAGCGAUCAAUUAUUACUGCAAUGCUGGAGGUACGUCCCAAAGUGCUUGAAAUUUUUUAAACGAAACACUUCAAAUUCCACUUCUAUAGUUUCACAUUUUCUCACUUUAAUACUCUGUGGUUUAAAAUGUAUCAAUUUAGUGCCUUGUGAUUUUAUUUUUAUCUUUUUAUCAUCGAUUUCACUAAUUUUUUUCGUUAAAUCAAUGAUAAAGUUAAAACUAAAAGGUAUUAAAAUGAAUAUUCGAUAAAUCUAGGUAGUUUAUCUGAAGUUUUUUUGUAUAUAAAUUUAACGAAAUAUUAACGGAAAAGCUAACGAAAAGAUAAAAAUGAAACCACAGGACACUAACUUGAUACACUUUAAGUCACAGGGUAUUAAAGUGAGAAAAUGUGAAAUCACAAAGAUGGUAUUUGAAAUUUGUCCUUUUUAAAAAAAAUUUAAAAUAUGACAGAUAUAUUAAUGAUGUGGUAUUUUCAACCAAUCAUAUUUGACUUGUAAGAUUUAUCCAUCCCACUGUAGUUUUUUUAAAAAAAUUAUUUUUGUUAUACCCUUUUUUCAAAUAAAAAAAUUUUAUUAGUUGGGACAUAAAUGACGUGUUGUGCUUGCCGUAUAGAUCUUUAUCUCGUCAAUAUACUGUUUUUUUUAGCAUACUAAAACCCAACAAAUUUUAAAACCAUAGAAUGAAAGGCAUAGAAUUUACAUUUUAUUUCUAGUUGUACCAAUAACUUUUUUUUUAAAAGAUAAUGAGUAAUACUAGCUGUACACUUAGCAACUAUGUGUAGAUCUUACAUUCUAGUCUUUGGAUCGUCGGAAUCCAUCUACUAUUAUAAAAAAAAAAUCCCUAAAAAUUCUUUAAUUUUUUCAGAACUGUAGAAUCUAUAGAUAUCAGAUGUGUGAUAUAAAUCUUACAUCUUAAAUAUAAGGAUUCAAAAUUCCAUUAAUUUUUAGUUAUAAAAUAGUAAAAAUUUUAGGAAAAACUUCAAAAACCCUUCCUGUGGUUUCGUAGUUUCUCACUUUACCCUCCUAUGAUUUAAAAUGUAUCAAAUUCCCCCCUGUGGUUUUGUUUUUAUCUUUUCGGUAGCUUUUUCGUUAAUAUUUUAUUAAAUUAUAUAUAAAAAACUUCAGAUACCCAUCUAGAUUUAUCAAAUAUUCACUUUAGUACCCUUUAAUUUUAAUUUUAUCACUGGUUUAAGAAAAAAAAAAUAAUGAAAUUGAUAAGAAAAAGAGAAAAAAGACCACAUGGAGACAAAUAUUGAUACAUUUUAAACCACAGGGGGGCAAAAUGAGAAACUACGAAACCAUACGGGGGUUUUUGAAGUUUUUCCAAAAUUUUAAAAAGAUAAGUGGGUUAAUAUGGUCCACAUGCACAAAGAUCUAUGAGUGUGUACUAUAUACCUAAAUAUUGGGUGUAAAAUAUAGCUUAAACACUACCAUGUCAGUGUCCAAUUAGAUCCAUUUUGCAGCAGCUUUAUUUAGUGCCUUUUGGCUUGAUUGUUUGAUUUCAAAAUAAUAUAGAGAAAUAGUUUUUAUCAGAUAAAAAAUAUUUUUUUGCUUAAUUUUUUUUUAAAAAAGUUAUUUUUUAAAUUUUAUAGAAAAAUUGUGCUUUAGUUUUUCAAAUUUUUAUCUAGAAAAUAAAAAUGGUAGAAAAAAAUUAUUUUUUUUGUCUACAAAACUAUUGUUUAGCUUGAAAGGGUAAAUUACACCGGUGGUCCUCGACAUUUUUUUUAAAAUUUCAAAUUAGGUUCCUAAUCUUCUAUAUUUGUCGAUUGAGUUCCAAAAUUUUAUAAUUCAUUUCAAUUAAGUCCGUACCGUCUAUUUCUCUGUUAUUUUUAAUGAUUUUGAAGCGUCGAAUUGGUUGAAUUUUUGCGAGAAAUUUUUUUUUUCUUCUUCCUUCUUCAUCCUACCUCAUCAUCGACGUCAUUUUUUUUUAUAUUUUUUCUCUUCCUUUUUCUUUUUCAUUCUUCAUCUUUACCUUUAUCUUCUUCGCCUCAUCCUUAUCUUCUUCUGCAACUUGAAAAUACACGAAGCACAUAUGUAAAAUUUCGUCAAAAAUAAUGGAAUCAUGAAUGGGCAGGGACCAAAUUGAAAUGAAUUAUGAAGGUUGAGUACUCAAAUAAUAGAAAAAAAAAAGAGUUAGGGAUCACUGGUGUAAUUUACCCUAGCUUGAAAUAAGCUGUAAACUGAGUUCAAAUUCAAAUCUAAUAUCAGAACAUGUUCCAUCUAAUUCCAUAUCUUGUCUAAUUAUGUAGAAACUAAAAACCAAACCCACACUUUGCAUUAACAAGAAGAUCUAAUUGAGUAUUUGAUUACACUUGAAAUGAAGCUCAGCUAUCAAAUAGGUCUAGCUCGAGACCUUUUAAUAGGCACUACAACAAAAUUAAGCUAUAGUGACAUAUGUUUGGGACACUUUUGUCUAAGUGUCCUAUUUAUGCCAAAAUUUAAAAAAACAUCUACUAAUGUCUAAAUAUAAAGCCGAAUCCAACAAAAAAUAAAAGGUUACUCUACUCAGCCCACCCAACCGAACCCAUUUGACCCGAUUACAAACAGAAAAGAAAAAAUAAAAAAAUAAUCGAUUACCAUCUCCCCUUCUCCUCUCACUCAUUCCAGUGAAAUGCUAGACGAAGGGCCCUUCCCUUUCGUCCUCCUCCGCCACCGCAACCAACGAGGUAAAGUUCCGGUGGUUGCUAGAUACUUAAAUAAGUGUUGCUAAAUUAACAGCAUUUUUUUUAGGUUACAGCGACACUCUUUAACUGUCACUAUAUACCUAGCGACCCCACAUAUAGCAAUACUUUUUAAAAAUGUCGGUAAUUUAGCCAGCAAUACUUUUUUUGACCUGUAUCGAUAUUUAAAAAUGUCGCUAUAGACCGUUUUUGUUGUAGUGAGAUCUAAGAUGUUGUUGGGCGGAAAAAUUCCGCGCACACAUGCGCCCAACUUUACUGAUUUGCACUUCGUCCCUCCUAGUGAAGAUGAUCUGACUCUGUCUCAGGCGCAGAUUAGAGAGGAAACAAUUUGAUCGGGUGCCUUCAGAAGUCUUGGUUUUCGGCUAAAACAUGAAUGGGUUUUGGCCUCGCUAGGCCAUCGGUCUCUUAGAUCUCAAUUGCUGGUCAAGGCCGAUAUCGAGCGAUGGAAACCGCUAGAAAGAAACAAUUUCUAGGAUGAAGGGCUGCAGUUGACGGAGGGCUUCUAUAUAUGUUAUUGCUAUUCUUAGUUUACGUUACGCCUACUACUAAGAAAGAUAAAAAAUAGAGAUAUAGGGUAUCCGUGCUAUUCUCCUUUUUCUAACCAUAAGUCUAUAAAGGCUUCGUUUGGUUGGGGGUUAAGUAAAAACUAGUUAACUAGUUAUUCCAGAAAUAUGAUUAAGUUCAAGGUUAAGGUCGAGUUAGAAUAAUUUUGUGUUUGGUUAAGAAUUGAAUUUAGCCCAGAUAUAAAUAAAAUAGUGUUUGAUUCGAGUAACUGGAAUAAGAAGGAUAGUGAGUAGUUAUAAAUAAAAAAUAAUAAUAUCGCCCCAAUUAUUAUAUUUGAAUUUAAAUUUAAAAUUUAAAUAAUUGAAAAUAAUAAUUUAAAAUUUAAAAUUUAAAAUUAAAAUAUAUAUUUUUAAAUCUCAAAUUUAAAAACUUAAAGUUACAAAUAUAAAAUAUCAAAUUUAAAAUUUAAAUAAUUAAAAAUAAUAAAUUUUAAUUUUUAAUUUUUAAAAAUAAAUAUUAAUUUUAAAAUUUUAAAUUUUAAAUUUUUAAAUUUAAAAUUUAAAAUUUAAAAUUUAAAAUUUAUAUUUAUAUUUAAAAAUAAAAUAGGGGUGGAAUUAACUUAAUCCCACCCGAUAUAUAUUCCCCUUAUUCCCCCCUUUAACCCCGAACCAAACGGGGUGUAAGGCAAUAUUUGCGCGAUAGCUAUACAACAUUUCUCUUAAAUUGCUCUUGAAAAUUAUGCCCAUUUUCAAAUUCGUCAUUGGAAUCGCUCUUGAAAAUCAUGCCCGUUUUCAGAUUCGUCGCAUCCACUGCUUGAAUUUUGCAUUUCAAAUGUGCCCCAGACUUGUCCUCUCAAGUUUUGCCAAAGACUUCGGCUUUUGGUACGCUUUGUCAAUGCCGAAGUCCUUUUGCCAACAAAUGCACCUCUGAGAUGUCUUUCAAUAAUAACUGUCUACGGAAGCCCAAGUUGCUCCACUCCUGUAGUCUAGUUCAUCAUUCCAAUGAACAAAGUAGGUAGCGAGCUAUCUUUUUCUCAAGAAAAAAGGGUAAACUUUAGAUUCCAUCCUUGUGGUUUCGCACUUUCUUAUUUUAGUACCAUCUGGUUUAAAAUAUAUCAAGUUAGUGUCAUGUGGUUUUAUUUUUAUCUUUUCGUCGGCUUCUCCGCUAAUUUUUUAUUAAAUAAUAUACAAAAACUUUUGAUACUCCACCUAGGUUUAUCGAAUAUUCACUUUAGCAUCCUUUAGUUUUAACUUUGUCCCUGAUUUAAUGAAAAAAAUUAGUGAAAUCGAUAAUAAAAAAUUAAAAAUGAAACUACAAGACACUAGAUUGAUACACUUUAAAUCAUAGAAUACUAAAGUAAAAAAGUACGAAACCACGGGGGUGGUAUUUGAGGUUUUUCAAAAAAAAAAAAA